rnacentral:rRNA from 1 species
GUGUCAGCAGCCGCGGUAAUACGUAGGGGGCAAGCGUUGUCCGGAAUCAUUGGGCGUAAAGCGCGUGUAGGCGGCUCGGUAAGUCCGCUCUGAAAGUCCAGGGCUCAACCCUGGGAUGCGGGUGGAUACUGCCGGGCUCGAGUCCGGAAGAGGCGAGUGGAAUUCCCGGUGUAGCGGUGAAAUGCGCAGAUAUCGGGAGGAACACCAAUGGCGAAGGCAGCUCGCUGGGACGUGACUGACGCUGAGACGCGAAAGCGUGGGGAGCAAACAGGAUUAGAUACCCGCGUAGUCC